AUUGAACGCUGGCGGCAGGCCUAACACAUGCAAGUCGAACGAGCGGCGGACGGGUGAGUAAUGUCUGGGAAACUGCCUGAUGGAGGGGGAUAACUACUGGAAACGGUAGCUAAUACCGCAUACCAUCAGAUGUGCCCAGAUGGGAUUAGCUAGUUGGUGGGGUAACGGCUCACCUAGGCGACGAUCCCUCGCUGGUAUGAGAGGAUGACCAGCCAAACUGGAACUGAGCCACGGUCCAGACUCCUACGGGAGGCAGCAGUGGGGAAUAUGGCACAAUGGGCGCAAGCCUGAUGAAGCCAUGCCGCGUGUAUGAAGAAGGCCUUCGGGUUGGAAAGUACUUUCAGCGAGGAGGCGUUACUCGCAGAAGAAGCACCGGCUAACUCCGUGCCAGCAGCCGCGGUAAUAC
rnacentral:rRNA from 1 species